UUGUAAAUAUCAUUAAACAUAAUGAAGGUUUGGUUACAAAAUCAAUUGAAACCAAGAUCUGCUUUUCAGCUAUUCAGGAUCUUGAGGGCCGCAAAAAGUUUUAAAAAACCCAAAAGAACCUAGGUGAUUAAAUCCAAGCUUCCCGACACUGGUGCUUGAAGUUAAUAAAACAUUGAAGAACAAAAGACAGUAAACUAAGCUCCCAAUCCUAAGCCUUCUUGCUGUGGUGAACUAAUCAGAACGCAAGAGAAUAGCCAGAAGUCAAGUUCAAUCGAACACUCACCGAAGUGGCUCCAAGCAGGCAUCGACAGAGCGUCAGGCACACACCCCGGAGCUCCGCUUGGAGGAAGACGCCGACGAAACAAAACCCAAGCUAUCGCAGCAGACGACGAAAAUGUUGGCCCGUAUCAACCCCGCUGGAAGUGAAGGACAGGUUACGGUCAAGCGUAGACGGUAGUUUCAGCUCCCCAUUCCGCUACGCGACACAUAAGUUGCGAUGGAGACAACAAGGUUACAUAAAGCAAUCCGCUGGAGCUUUGGAAGAAGGGAAUUGAAGCACAUAAGAAACAGUGACACUCCUUGAAACAGACGUCCUAAGCGGCAACUGAUAGGUCUUCCUCGAGAGCAAGAGGCACCGACACCUUGGGUUGUCCUCAAAACCCUAGGAGACAACGCCGAGAGCAGGAGAAGAAGCCAAUCGAUCACCAUAGAUACGCCACGGUUACUGUCUUUCGAACUAUGGAACAGAGGUUCUCGGUGGUGCGCCUCUAGGCCACCUUUCACUCUAAACAGAGAGGAGAAACUCUACUAAGACCUUGGAGCUACACAGAAGAGAAGACCGACUGGAGUGAGACGAUGAGACAGAAAGCGGUGACGGCAGCGACGCGUCGUACAUUCCGGCGAAUCUCAGAUCUCAAACCUGACCCAGAUCCAAGCGCAAUCGGUGACUAAAGGUAUAUCCAAGGCACCCGCAGCUUACCCCGACUAGCCAGACCUCGUUGGUGUUCCAGAGAGACCAAAGACACCUUUGAUUUCAGUUUGAUUCGUUGGAGAAGAUCCAGCAAACCCAGACGCACCAGACAAGGAGGAGAGACGAGAAGAGGAGGCAAGGGGUUGAGGCGGAGCGUUAUGACCGGAGCACGAGCCCCGCAGUGACCGGAGACGAAGCUACAGCGACCACCGCGAGAAGGAGCUUUCAGUUGGUUGCAAUUAGGGUUUGACGGCAGAGCUAAUGGGAGAGACUCUAGAGAGAAUAUUUUCUCUCUCUCUCUCUUGAAAAGUUUUUUUUUUUUUUCGUUCCUCUUGAAUGAAUCAAAUUUCACAAACCUUUAAUCCGAAAUGGUCAUCACAUUGCAGAGUAUGGCGCUGUAUAUCAGUAUAUGCAUGCAGUGGUCAAAGGAUCAAUCUCGGAGAAAGUUUCAGAAAAAUAUGGUAAGGUCAUAAGAACCAAUGACUCUAUGCUACGGCUAUAGAGCUAUGGAAGCAUGCUUUUAAAGCUGCUAGUAAAAGAUUUGGCCCACUAAGAGGUUCAAGACAAGAAAAUGGUUGUCUACUUAUGCUUGCUAAUUUGCUAAUCAGUAGACUGUGGCAAUGUUAAACUAGAUACUUCGUGAUUCAGCAGGUGAAUUGCCGACAUAUCCCAUCUCUGAUAUGAUCAGCUAUUCUUCCAACUCCAGCAGGAAAAGCAAGUUUUGGUGCAGAUUGGAACUUUGUCUAGAUGGCUUGAUGUUCAAUUCGAGUAAAAGGAGGACAAAUCUGAUAGCAAUAAUAAGACACUGUAUUCUUUUUUAACUUCACCAAUCACACACACUUUUCUCCUUUGGUAAAGCUUGUCAGAACAAAAGAAUAGAGAAGUCUGCAACAUCUUCCUGGCUAUAUCAAUAGAUAACUCUAAAAUCUCUACUAAUGGAACAGCCAGUUCAUGAAGGUUUGAGUACAAUGACUCUUACUCCAUUUUUCUGGCUAUAUAUAUAUAUGUUUUGAUGAAAACAAUUCUUAAGUUUCUUGUUGAUAUGUAUGAAG